CCUACGGGUGGCAGCAGUGGGGAAUAUUGCACAAUGGGCGAAACCCUGAUGCAGCGACGCCGCGUGAGUGAUGAAGUAUCUCGGUACGUAAACCUCUAUCAGCAGGGAAGAAAAUGCCGUUAGCUGAUCAAGAAGCCCUUGCUAAUUACUUCCCAGCAGCCGCGGUAAUACGGAGGGGGCAAGCGUUAUUCGGAUCUACUGGGUGUAAAGUGAGCGUAGACGGCGCGGCAAGUCCGGAGUGAAAGUCCAUUGCUUAACCAUGGUACUGCUCUGGAAACUGUGGAGCUUGAGUGCGGGAGAGGCAGGCGGAAUUCCUGGUGUAGCAGUGAAAUGCGUAGAUAUUAGGAGGAACACCAGCGGCGAAGGCGACCUGCUGGAACGUAACUGACGUUGAGGCUCGAAAGCGUGGGGAGCAAACAGGAUUAGAUACCCUUGUAGUC
rnacentral:rRNA from 1 species